rnacentral:rRNA from 1 species
AUUGAACGCUGGCGGCAUGCCUAACACAUGCAAGUCGAACGGCAGCAUGGUCUAGUUUACUAGAUUGAUGGCGAGUGGCGGACGGGUGAGUAACGCGUAGGAAUAUGCCUUAAAGAGGGGGAUAACUUGGGGAAACUCAAGCUAAUACCGCGUAAUCUCUGAGGAGAAAAGCUGGGGACCUUCGGUCCUACCGCGAUUGGAUGCGCCCAUGUGGGAUUAGCUAGUUGGAGAGGUAACGGCUCACCAAGGCGACGAUCUCUAGCUGGUCUGAGAGGAUGACCAGCCACACUGGAACUGAGACACGGUCCAGACUCCUACGGGAGGCAGCAGUGGGGAAUAUUGCACAAUGGGGGAAACCCUGAUGCAGCCAUGCCGCGUGUGUGAAGAAGGCCUUCGGGUUGUAAAGCACUUUCAGUCAGGAGGAAGGGGUGAUGGCUAAUAUCCAUCAUCAUUGACGUUACUGACAAAAGAAGCACCGGCUAACUCCGUGCCAGCCGCCGCCGUAA